UAACUUUAAUAUACCAACUCCGAGAUCGCACUACAGUGCAGGAAUGGAAAUCUUUCCAUUCCACAUUGUACUGAGAUGCCGGAAGUUGGAGGCC